CCUACGGGAGGCAGCAGUGAGGAAUUUUGGUCAAUGGUCGGGAGACUGAACCAGCCAAGCCGCGUGAGGGAUGAAGGUACAGAGUAUCGUAAACCUCUUUUGUCAGGGAACAAAGGCGGGGACGCGUCCCCGGAUGAGUGUACCUGAAGAAAAAGCAUCGGCUAACUCCGUGCCAGCAGCCGCGGUAGUACGUAGGGGGCAAGCGUUAUCCGGAUUUACUGGGGGUAAAGGGAGCGUAGACGGUGAGACAAGUCUGAAGUGAAAGCCCGGGGCUCAACCCCGGGACGGCUUUGGAAACUGCCUGACUGGAGUGCUGGAGAGGCAAGCGGAAUUCCUAGUGUAGCGGUGAAAUGCGUAGAUAUUAGGAAGAACACCAGUGGCGAAGGCGGCUUGCUGGACAGUAACUGACGUUGAGGCUCGAAAGCGUGGGGAGCAAACAGGAUUAGAUACCCCUGUAGUC
rnacentral:rRNA from 1 species